AAUGGAAGCCUAAAAUCCCAAGUGAAGAAGCGUUCUCCCCUCUUUCUGUGUCCGUUGCUGUUUUCUUCCUUCCUCUCUCUCUCUCUCUGUUGAUCGCCCAAUCUCAUGGCCACUUCUUCUACAUAAUCUUAAUCUUUACCACCCACACCCCUCUAUUCAACUCAUAAACUUAUAGAUCAAAAUUAUUCCAUCCUAAAACAAUUACCUUGGUUCGUCAAUCAUCCUGAAACAAUUUAAAGUUAUUACUCUAAAAGUCGCAAUUGAUUUGGUUAGCUGUGAAUUCACACUUGCUGGAAACUAGUUUUGUUUUUGUGCAUGCGACAUUGUCUAGGAUUGCCAGCAGCAAGGUUUUCCAACUUAUCAAAUUCAACAACUCGGUGAACCCGUGAUCAGUUGAGGUUCUUAAGAAGACAAAGCUCGAAAGGGAAAGUGUCGUUGAAGACAUUGUUGGAGAGUGAACUGGAGAGUUUAAACUUAGUUGUUGUUGUAUGUUGGAAUGGAUACCAAUGCCAAUUCUAGAGAACAUUAUAUGAGCAAUAGUGGAAGUGCACAUCAGAGAUUCAAUUGUGGAAUCCGACCAGGAUUCAUGAAAAAUGACAACGUAUGCAAAGGAAGUAAUGGACAUCGUGGUUUGGACAACGGAUGCGAAGGAACUUCAGGGAUUUAUGUAAAUGGUUUAGAAGAUAUGGGUGACAUUAAUUUCAAGAUGUUAACUGAAGAUGAUAUGAAGAACUAUCAAUUUCCAAAUCUAGAAGUUGCAUUUACAUUCUACAAUUGGUAUGCUAGAAUGCAUGGAUUUUCUGCCCGUAAAAGCAAGGUUAGGAGGAACAAAUUAAAUGAAGUUGUCCAACAUAAUUUUGUUUGCUACAGAGAAGAGUUUAGAGUAGAUAGGUUUAAUAAUAACAAAAUUCGUAUGCAUGAAGCUAGGGCGGACACACGAUGUGGAUGUGAGGCGAACUGUUGUUUACACUAAAAUUUGGUAAACAAUCACUGGUUUCAAGAUGUUUACUUGCAAGAUCAACCAGUAAAUCUUAAGAGCAUAUUUUGCUUUAUUUAUCUUUUUAGAAAUGUGAUAUUUGUUCUUGAAGAACUUUGAUAAAAGCAAGAAUAAAUAAAAGGCAAUCGAAUCCAACCCAGUUGAAUCCAA